rnacentral:rRNA from 1 species
GUGCGUAACGCGUAUACAAUCUGCCUUUCACUGGGGGAUAGCCCGAAGAAAUUUGGAUUAAUACCCCAUAGUAUAGUAGUGUGGCAUCRYRCAACUAUUAAAGCYUMGGUGGUGAAAGAUGAGUAUGCGUUCUAUUAGCUAGUUGGAGAGGUAACGGCUCCCCAAGGCKAYGAUAGAUAGGGGUUCUGAGAGGGAUGUCCCCCACACUGGUACUGAGAUACGGACCAGACUCCUACGGGAGGCAGCAGUGAGGAAUAUUGGACAAUGGUCGGAAGACUGAUCCAGCCAUGCCGCGUGCAGGAUGACGGCCUUAUGGGUUGUAAACUGCU